UUCUUUUUGAAAGUCGGUUUCGGCUGACACUUACAGAUGAGCCCGCGGCGCAUUAGCUAGUUGGUGAGGUAACGGCUCACCAAGGCGACGAUGCGUAGCCGACCUGAGAGGGUGAUCGGCCACACUGGGACUGAGACACGGCCCAGACUCCUACGGGAGGCAGCAGUAGGGAAUCUUCGGCAAUGGGCGAAAGCCUGACCGAGCAACGCCGCGUGAGCGAUGAAGGCCUUCGGGUCGUAAAGCUCUGUUGUUAGAGAAGAACAAGUACGAGAGUAACUGCUCGUACCUUGACGGUACCUAACCAGAAAGCCACGGCUAACUACGUGCCAGCAGCCGCGGUAAUACGUAGGUGGCAAGCGUUAUCCGGAAUUAUUGGGCGUAAAGCGCGCGCAGGCGGUCUCUUAAGUCUGAUGUGAAAGCCCACGGCUCAACCGUGGAGGGUCAUUGGAAACUGGGAGACUUGAGUGCAGGAGAGAAAAGUGGAAUUCCACGUGUAGCGGUGAAAUGCGUAGAGAUGUGGAGGAACACCAGUGGCGAAGGCGGCUUUUUGGCCUGUAACUGACGCUGAGGCGCGAAAGCGUGGGGAGCAAACAGGAUUAGAUACCCUGGUAGUCCACGCCGUAAACGAUGAGUGCUAGGUGUUGGGGGGUUCCACCCUCAGUGCUGAAGUUAACACAUUAAGCACUCCGCCUGGGGAGUACGACCGCAAGGUUGAAACUCAAAGGAAUUGACGGGGGCCCGCACAAGCAGUGGAGCAUGUGGUUUAAUUCGAAGCAACGCGAAGAACCUUACCAGGUCUUGACAUCCUUUGACCACUCUAGAGAUAGAGCUUUCCCUUUCGGGGGACAAAGUGACAGGUGGUGCAUGGUUGUCGUCAGCUCGUGUCGUGAGAUGUUGGGUUAAGUCCCGCAACGAGCGCAACCCUUGACCUUAGUUGCCAGCAUUCAGUUGGGCACUCUAAGGUGACUGCCGGUGACAAACCGGAGGAAGGUGGGGACGACGUCAAAUCAUCAUGCCCCUUAUGACCUGGGCUACACACGUGCUACAAUGGAUGAUACAAAGGGUUGCGAAGCCGCGAGGCCAAGCCAAUCCCAAAAAGUCAUUCUCAGUUCGGAUUGUAGGCUGCAACUCGCCUACAUGAAGCCGGAAUUGCUAGUAAUCGCGGAUCAGCAUGCCGCGGUGAAUACGUUCCCGGGCCUUGUACACACCGCCCGUCACACCACGAGAGUUUGUAACACCCGAAGUCGGUGGGGUAACCCUUUUGG
rnacentral:rRNA from 2 species